rnacentral:sRNA from 1 species
GGCAAGAAUGAGCUCACGGGUGCGUGGCAAGAAUUUCAAGAGCGCCCUUGUCUGUGGGGCUCCACAUCUGUGGUGAACCUUGGGCCCCACCACCCAGGAGGCAGGAGCCUCUGUUUUCAACACUGGGGUCUCUGGGACUGGACCACCCUCCUCCCACCUCAGUUACCCCUCCAGCGCCCCAACAGGAAAUACAGGGCAGGGGUUGGUCUGCCCACUGCACCCCGAUCUGACCACACUGAAAGGCUCUCUGGUCUCUUCACUCAGAGUGAGGUCCUGCAGGAAGAAAUCGGCAAGGCCAGCAGCGGACGUGGGAGAUACAGGCAUGGAGGAUGCAAACACCAUCAGGGGCUCAGCCUCUCAGGGUACCCUGACUGAGUCCUGGGCAUAUGAUAACCCCCGACACCAUGGCCUGGCUGCCCCCUCCUCAGGGGAGGAAAGAGAGGUCCAGUAUGCACCCCUCAGCUUUCAUAAGGGGGAGCCUCAGGACCUAUCAGGACAAGAGGCCACCAACAAUGAGUACUCAGAGA